rnacentral:rRNA from 1 species
CGGUUAAGUCCGCUAACGAGCGCAACCCUCGCUGUGUGGUUACAAAGUGUCACACGGAACUGCCGGGUCAUAAACCGGAGGAAGGUGGGGAUGACGUCAAGUCAGCAUGGCCUUUAUAUCCUGGGCUACACACACGCUACAAUGGGAAGGGACAAUAGGUUGCGAAGCCGCGAGGUGGAGCCAAUCCAGUAAAACUUCCCUCAGUUCAGAUUGCAGGCUGCAACUCGCCUGCAUGAAGUUGGAGUUGCUAGUAAACGCAGGUCAGCCAUACUGCGUUGAAUACGUUCCCGGGGCUU